GGGAGGUUCAUGCUACAAAAGCCAAAGAAAAAAAAGAACUCCAUGUUUUUGACACCGAAGAUGGAGAGUUCCGUGGCAAGGAGGAAGCAGAUUUGUGACUUCCGCUCCGACCCAAAUCAUGCAGGACACUCGGCAUCACUGUUGGUGAGGACGCCGCAUGGGUCACGCCUUGCUACUGAAGUGCAACAAAUAAUGCAGUCGACUUCACCGGGGCAUUGGAGGAAGAAACACCCACCGAAGCAGAGAAUCUAAAAAGCAAAGCUCCAAUGGACUGCGAUGAUGAGGUUGAGAAGCCAUUUAGGGGGAACCUAGCCGGGGAAGAGGAAACAUAAACGGACGAAGAAAGCACUGUAGCUGUAGGAGAUGAAGGAGGAGAAACCCCGCCAGCCACCAUGGUCCCGAGAUCUAUCGACGCCGUAACAUAGUCGACGCCCGUCACAACCUCUUGUGCCCCUCCAAGGGCAACGGAUAGUGGGCCACCAAAAGGGGGGCGAGAGGUCGUCGGACAAAGGAGAAAGGGCGUUAGUAGAACUCGUGGUCGACUGUGAAACAGGUAGCAGGCGUGUCCAGCGACGGGACUUGAAUAACUGCGUCCAGGCCUAUAGAUGUCUCGCUAGUGGUUUCCAUGAGCACUCGUGCCGUCCUAGACGACAGUAGAUGGCCCGGUAGACGCUUCGGAGGGAUGGUAGAAACUGGAGGCGAGACGGCGGAGAAGCUUGAAAGAUG
rnacentral:lncRNA from 1 species